UGCGCCAACCCUUCUCCCCCAAUAACACAAGCUCCUUCUUCUUGAACACGCUUCUUUCUCCAUUGAAAAUCCAACUUCUCCUUCACGCCAUUUAGCCUUUCAAAAUCAGAUGAAACUUAUAACCCUUAAGUUUUUGAAAUUCAAAUCACACUUCUUUCACUACUGCAAUUGGGUAAAUACGAGAUCGGAAGAACACUCGGUGAAGGCAAUUUCGGCAAAGUUAAGUACGUUAAAGACAUCCAAACCGGACACCCGUUUGCCGUCAAGAUCCUCGAAAAAACCCGGAUCAAGAACCUUAAUUUCUCAAAUCAGAUAAAGAGGGAGAUUGCUAUAUUAAAGAUCUUGAAGCAUCCAAAUGUUGUUAGAUUACAUGAGACCCUCUUGAGACUGCAAGAAUUCCUAAAAUGGUUGACGAAGAAAGGUCAAACAAGAGCAAGUGAAUGGGUGUCAUUGUUUUUAAGAUACAACAAAGAGAGGAAGCUACCAACAAGCAUGAACGUGCCAUGUCGUAUGCCUUCUCUCACAAAGUAUAUAUCCUUUAAAGGUGGCAAGACAUGUAGGUUGAUUGGGCUAGGUAAUGGGUCAAACAUGUUUGGGUUAACACGAGUCACUUUUUAAGUCGGAUUGGAGCGGGUCCAUGUGUUGCUCUUUAUUCUUUUGGGUAUGAAAAAUUGUUUUCAAUUUGUUUUUUUUUUAAUCCAGAGACAUUUUAAAUGUAGUUAAUUGGGGUCAUCGUGCUGGUUUAAGUAGCUGUGUAUUUGCUAUUAAUGGAUCCGGUUGUGCUAUUGUUGUUGAGAAUCCUUUAAAGUUUAAUGGUUUUAUCUUAGUGGCAGCUGGUGGCGGGGGUAUUGCAGUUGGUGAUGCAGCUGGUGGUGGCACUGCACCCCAGUGGCUGCCGUUGCUGAAACAACGAAGGAAUUAAUGGUCGAAGAAAAAGAAGAGUCAUACACAUGAUGGGAAAAGUAGUCAUACAGUAGAGCGGUCUUUAUAUACCGACACUCCAUUUGCUGAGUUUUAUGAUGCUUGGGAAGGUCUAUAUCACCAUUUUCCCCAUGAGGAGAUUAGAGUUAUUGAUCAAGUUCUCUAAUGAAUGUAUGCAGGUAUGUACAGUACUGGAAAGUUUCUUCAAAGGUAGAUGUUUAUGCAUUUGGGGUUGCAUCUUAUGGGCUAAAACAAACCCGUGUAAAUUAUCCAUUUAUGUUUAUCAUUGUAAUUUUGUUAGCAAGUUUAAUAUAUUCAACAUAUGACAUUUCGUAUUUGUGUUGAUUAAUGAAAUAUGGUUAAAGCA